AUUCCAGCUCCAAUAGCGUAUAUUAAAGUUGUUGCGGUUAAAAAGCUCGUAGUUGGAUUUCUGCCGAGGAUGACCGGUCCGCCCUGUGGGUGUGCAUCUGGCUCAGCCUUGGCAUCUUCCUGAAGAACGUAGCUGCACUUGACUGUGUGGUGCGGUAUUUAGGACAUUUACUUUGAGGAAAUUAGAGUGUUUCAAGCAAGCGCACGCUUUGAAUACAUUAGCAUGGAAUAAUAAGAUAGGACUUUGGUGGUCUAUUAUGUUGGUUUGCACACCAAGGUAAUGAUUAAUAGGGACAGUUGGGGGUAUCCGUAUUUCGUAGUCAGAGGUGAAAUUCUUGGAUUUACGAAAGACGAACUACUGCGAAAGCAUUUACCAAGGAUGUUUUCAUUA
rnacentral:rRNA from 1 species